GGCAACGGAUAUCUCGGCUCUCGCAUCGAUGAAGAACGUAGCGAAAUGCGAUACCUGGUGUGAAUUGCAGAAUCCCGCGAACCAUCGAGUCUUUGAACGCAAGUUGCGCCCGAUGCCACUCGACCGAGGGCACGUCUGCCUGGGCGUC
rnacentral:rRNA from 1 species